rnacentral:piRNA from 1 species
UGGAAGGUCCGCCGAAUGCAUUUGAGCGAA